rnacentral:lncRNA from 1 species
UGUUAUCAUGAUAAUCUCAGUUAAUCCAUGAUCUAUAGAACUGAGUCGGGCAUGUGACUCAGGAAAACCUCAAAAAUCUCAUGAUCUCAGAUAAUUCUCAAAUAGUAGCACCAAUCCGUCAGUCAAUGGAAGUCAGUUACUCAUUCCACGUACCGUUAGUCAAAUCACGUUCAGUCUCUUAAGAUGGGAGUAGAAGUUAGUACCGAGUG